rnacentral:rRNA from 1 species
CCGCGGGAAUUCGAUUAGAGUUUGAUCCUGGCUCAGAUUGAACGCUGGCGGCAGGCCUAACACAUGCAAGUCGAGCGGUAGAGAGAAGCUUGCUUCUCUUGAGAGCGGCGGACGGGUGAGUAAUGCCUAGGAAUCUGCCUGGUAGUGGGGGAUAACGUUCGGAAACGGACGCUAAUACCGCAUACGUCCUACGGGAGAAAGCAGGGGACCUUCGGGCCUUGCGCUAUCAGAUGAGCCUAGGUCGGAUUAGCUAGUUGGUGGGGUAAUGGCUCACCAAGGCGACGAUCCGUAACUGGUCUGAGAGGAUGAUCAGUCACACUGGAACUGAGACACGGUCCAGACUCCUACGGGAGGCAGCAGUGGGGAAUAUUGGACAAUGGGCGAAAGCCUGAUCCAGCCAUGCCGCGUGUGUGAAGAAGGUCUUCGGAUUGUAAAGCACUUUAAGUUGGGAGGAAGGGCAGUAAAUUAAUACUUUGCUGUUUUGACGUUACCGACAGAAUAAGCACCGGCUAACUCUGUGCCAGCAGCCGCGGUAAUACAAUCACUAGUGAAUUCGCGGCCGCCUGCAGGUCGACCAUAUGGGAGAGCUCCCCA